UAGGGAAUCUUCGGCAAUGGACGCAAGUCUGACCGAGCAACGCCGCGUGAGUGAAGACGGUUUUCGGAUCGUAAAGCUCUGUUGUAGGGGAAGAACGUGUGUAAGAGUGGAAAGCUUACACAGUGACGGUACCCUACCAGAAAGGGACGGCUAACUACGUGCCAGCAGCCGCGGUAAUACGUAGGUCCCGAGCGUUGUCCGGAUUUAUUGGGCGUAAAGGGAGCGCAGGCGGUUUAGUAAGUCUGAAGUUAAAGGCAUUGGCUCAACCAAUGUAUGCUUUGGAAGCUGUUAGACUUGAGUGCAGAAGGGGAGAGUGGAAUUCCAUGUGUAGCGGUGAAAUGCGUAGAUAUAUGGAGGAACACCGGUGGCGAAAGCGGCUCUCUGGUCUGUCACUGACGCUGAGGCUCGAAAGCGUGGGUAGCGAACAGGAUUAGAUACCCUGGUAGUCCACGCCGUANCGCUGAGUGCUAGGUGUUAGGUCCUUUCCGGGACUUAGUGCCNACGCNNCGCANUNANCACUCCGCCUGGGGAGUACNACCGCAAGGNUG
rnacentral:rRNA from 1 species